rnacentral:rRNA from 1 species
GUGCCAGCAGCCGCGGUAAAACGUAGGAGGCGAACGUUAUCCGGAUUUACUGGGCGUAAAGCGCAUGCAGGUGGUCUCGUAAGUCGGAUGUGAAAGCCUCUGGCUUAACUGGAGGAGGUCGUUCGAUACUGCGGGACUUGAGGUCGGAAGAGGGAAGCGGAAUUCCCGGUGUAGUGGUGGAAUGCGUAGAUAUCGGGAGGAACACCAGUGGCGAAGGCGGCUUCCUGGUCCGCACCUGACGCUAAGAUGCGAAAGCGUGGGGAGCGAACGGGAUUAGAUACCCCGGUAGUCCACGCUGUAAACGAUGGGUACUGGGUAUUGGUGGUAUUGACCCCAUCAGUGCCGAAGCUAACGCGUUAAGUACCCCGCCUGGGGACUACGGCCGCAAGGUUAAAACUUAAAUGAAUUGACGGGG